rnacentral:lncRNA from 1 species
CUGCUUACAAGAUGUUGGCAGCCAUGCAAUGUGGCUGUUAGGGAUUGAAUCUGGAUUGUCCACAAGAGCAGGAAGCACUGUUAAUGGCUGACUUCUUUCUCCAAAAUGUUUAUUUAUAUUUUAGUAUUUAUUUAGUUAUUAUGUGAGAUGGCUUACUACAUAACAGGUGUACUGUGACCUCAUAAUCUCUAGACCUACUAAUUCAUCAUUACACCAAUCACACUGGAGUAAGCCAACAGCAUCUCUGCAUGUUGUAGCCUGUGAGGAGACUGCUCAGGAGGUUGGACCCAUCUCAGUCCUCUCUGAGCAUCACACUGGCUCCAUAGGGGAAGGGGCAGCAGCCAGGUCACAUCUAAGCAGGGUUCAAGAGCAUCAUGAAAGUCCAGGGAUCUAGAUCCUGCUGUGUUCAGAAGAGCUUGAUCCAACAAGAGUGCCCCAUACAGUCAGGGUUGAUAUAGAAACAACCAUAGGAGAGAGGAUUGGGAAAUGACCACAGAAGGAUGGCUGUAGAGAACUCACUGUUGAAGGGAUACAAGAUCCAAGAGCAGCGAUUUCUGCACAUACUUUGGUCAAGAGAAGCCAGCC